rnacentral:rRNA from 1 species
UACGAAGGGGGCUAGCGUUGCUCGGAAUCACUGGGCGUAAAGGGUGCGUAGGCGGGGUCUUUAAGUCAGGGGUGAAAUCCUGGAGCUCAACUCCAGAACUGCCUUUGAUACUGAAGGUCUUGAGUUCGGGAGAGGUGAGUGGAACUGCGAGUGUAGAGGUGAAAUUCGUAGAUAUUCGCAAGAACACCAGUGGCGAAGGCGGCUCACUGGCCCGAUACUGACGCUGAGGCACGAAAGCGUGGGGAGCAAACAGG